rnacentral:rRNA from 1 species
AUUGAACGCUGGCGGCAUGCUUUACACAUGCAAGUCGAACGGUAACAGGUUAAGCUGACGAGUGGCGAACGGGUGAGUAAUGCAUCGGAACGUGCCCGAUCGUGGGGGAUAACGCAGCGAAAGCUGCGCUAAUACCGCAUACGAUCUGAGGAUGAAAGCGGGGGACCGUAAGGCCUCGCGCGAUCGGAGCGGCCGAUGUCAGAUUAGGUAGUUGGUGGGGUAAAGGCCCACCAAGCCGACGAUCUGUAGCUGGUCUGAGAGGACGACCAGCCACACUGGGACUGAGACACGGCCCAGACUCCUACGGGAGGCAGCAGUGGGGAAUUUUGGACAAUGGGCGAAAGCCUGAUUCAGCAAUGCCGCGCGCAGGAAGAAGGCCUUCGGGUUGUAAACUGCUUUUGUACGGAGCGAAAAGGUCCUUUCUAAUACAAGGGGCUCAUGACGGUACCGUAAGAAUAAGCACCGGCUAACUACGUGCCAGCCGCCGCAGUAA